GUUGACCCUGCCAGACCUCAUGCAAGGCAUUGGAGGGAAGAGGAAUGAAAGAAUGAAGAAGACACAGCCUUCAGAGAGCCUGAGGUUCAUACUAACAGAACAGAUCACCUAGGGGGCUUUUAUGACACACCAGGCUCUGGGCGGGGGUGUGGGGACACAGAUGAAUAAAACAUCUUUCGGAACUCAAGCAACGUAGGUUCUGCCUGGGGAGACAGGUGUACGGGGUAACUCCACUACAUAUAAUGGUCUCUUGCCCAUCUCAGCGUGCGCCCCAAGGCUCUGUCAUUGCCUUUCAGCUAGCCAGCACCCCCACCAGGACAUGAGCACCUUGAACGCAGGGGCUGGUGUUCUCUCUUCGUAUCCUCAGAGUCCCACACAACGAAACAUAUUUGCAAGCUUUAACCAAUCAGCGAUGGCAACAUUGAGAAUGACUAUGCAUUCAGAGACUGUGGGAAAGAGUAUGGCCAUCAAUUCACAAUGUCUUCCGUGGACAAGGGAUGGAAGAGAGGACCCAGAUUCUUCAAGAAGCCUUUUUCUCAUCUGCACUGAUUAAAGAUAAUGACUGUUGAGGGACAUUUGGUUUGUUUUUAGUUUCUAGAGGGGACGA